AGUGAACGCUGGCGGUAGGCCUAACACAUGCAAGUCGGACGGCAGCACAGUAAGAGCUUGCUCUUACGGGUGGCGAGUGGCGGACGGGUGAGGAAUACAUCGGAAUCUACUUUUUCGUGGGGGAUAACGUAGGGAAACUUACGCUAAUACCGCAUACGACCUACGGGUGAAAGCAGGGGAUCUUCGGACCUUGCGCGAUUGAAUGAGCCGAUGUCGGAUUAGCUAGUUGGCGGGGUAAAGGCCCACCAAGGCGACGAUCCGUAGCUGGUCUGAGAGGAUGAUCAGCCACACUGGAACUGAGACACGGUCCAGACUCCUACGGGAGGCAGCAGUGGGGAAUAUUGGGCAAUGGGCGCAAGCCUGAUCCAGCCAUACCGCGUGGGUGAAGAAGGCCUUCGGGUUGUAAAGCCCUUUUGUUGGGAAAGAAAAGCAGCAGGUUAAUACCCCGCUGUUCUGACGGUACCCAAAGAAUAAGCACCGGCUAACUUCGUG
rnacentral:rRNA from 1 species